rnacentral:rRNA from 1 species
GAUAAACGCUAGCGGCAGGCUUAACACAUGCAAGUCGAGGGGCAGCAUAGAUUGUAGCAAUACAAUUGGUGGCGACCGGCGCACGGGUGCGUAACGCGUAUGCAACCUACCCGUCACAGGGGGAUAAUCCGGAGAAAUCUGGUCUAAUACCCCAUAACAUAUGGAUCGGCAUCGGUUCAUGUUGAAAUUUUCGGAGGUGACGGAUGGGCAUGCGUAGCAUUAGCUUGUUGGUGAGGUAACGGCUCACCAAGGCGACGAUGCUUAGGGGGACUGAGAGGUUUUCCCCCCACACUGGUACUGAGACACGGACCAGACUCCUACGGGAGGCAGCAGUGAGGAAUAUUGGUCAAUGGGCGCAAGCCUGAACCAGCCAUGCCGCGUGCAGGAUGACGGCUCUAUGAGUGGUAAACUGCUUUUGUACGAGGGUAAAGUGGGUUACGUGUAACCCUUUGAAAGUAUCGUACGAAUAAGGAUCGGCUAACUCCGUGCCAGCAGCCGCCGUAA